AUGUACAUGCCUACAACAUAGCAUUAAUGCACCAGAUCCCAUUAGAACUCCACAGUUAAGCGCACUCGGGCUAGAUUAGUACUGGGAUGGGUAACCACCCAAGAAUUCCUAAUGUUUUACAUU
rnacentral:rRNA from 1 species